CACGGACAAGGCGGGCGGGCGGGGAGUGGACGGCCCGCAGACGGAAAAGGCCGCGAAGGGCCUUCUGGGUUGUGCUUUGCCUUUCUUUAUGGUGACUUGAGCUGCAUCUGCACUACAAAGACAAUCCAGUUUGAUAUCACUUUAACUGAACAUGCCCAGCACCUUCAUCCUCCCCUCAUAUAUUUUGUUUUCCAUACAUAUCGUCUCUGGAGGUAUCCCUCCUAAUUCAGUUACAUUUGCACAUUUGGUUCCUUCCCUUUCAUGCUGGAGCACGGAGGGAGAAGCAACAGGAUGCAUCAUCAUUUCCUUCAAAAUAUUAUGGCUGGCAAACGGACCCCCAAUAAAUCAGAAGACCUCCUAGGACUGCCGUAGGAAAAGGCACUGACAAUAGGAUGAUCAGGAGUUGGAAUGAUGAGCUGGCACGUUCCUCACGUCUACGCUGCUGAAGUCCACUUUAAAUAAAAGAUGAGUGACAACAUGUGGCCUUUGAAUUGUUAUCUGAGACAACGACGAUGGCAAUAAAGCAGGAACAACGACAAUAACAACGUACACCAUUGCUUCUAGGAAAAGAAAUGAUCCAUUUGGCGCCUUUCAUUUGGCUGGAAAUGAAGAUGAAUCAGGGAGGGAUGAAGGCACUUCGUUGGACAAAUAAAUCACAAAGUCGGGAAGGACCUGGAGGCCCCCAGAGGAACCCAAGGCGGAGGGACGGGGCAGAAAGGCAAGGAUUUCGCUAUUAUUUAUUUCAUUUGUACGCCGCCUUUCUCCCAGAAGGCACUCCAGGCGGUUCACAGAUUUCAUGACAAUAAGAUCCGGGUCGACUACAAGAGGCCGAGCCGAGGAGGAGGGCGGCCUUGGUCUUCUCUGGGUUUUCCAGGCUCUGGGGUCUUCCUUUUCAUUCAAUGCAGUUUUCUUCCUCUUUGAAACCGUUGCUUACAGAGGGAGAACGGGAGGAGAAAACGAGGCCACAGAUAACGAAAUCAACGCAGAAGACUGUAGUCAUCAUCAUCAUCAUCAUCAUCAUCAUCAUCAUCAUCAUCAUCAUCAUCAUAACAGUAACGAAAUUCCCGGCUUCACCCCCCUUUUAGUUUGGAUUUCAAUCGGUGCAGAAAAGCCUUCCCAGAAUGGCAGGGUUUUUGUCCACGCAGAGUUCCAGCCCGGCGUUCUGCUAAAAGUAACGCGUUUUGAACGUGCUUCCCCCCCUCAGGACAUACACGUGUCUGUGUGUGUGCACGUCUGUAUGCAUACCUCUGGCUCUCCCUUCCAGUGAGGAGACCUUUCCAAGGGGAAGAAGAAGGCAGGAGAAGAGGAGACACCCCCUCCCUCCCCAUCUGACUCCUUCUCUCUAUCCUUACUUUAAUAUUGCCCUGGGCUGCAUCCUCACUGCAGAAAUAAUCCGGUUUGACACCGCUUUAGCUCUCAUGGCUCAGUGCUAGGGAAUGCUGGGAAUGGCAGCAGAGCAAAGUCUGCCUAUCUAACUUUCAUCUACAACUGUCUUCUACAACUGUAUCUACUCGAUCCUUCCUUAUCUAUCUAGCUAUCUUUCUAUCCAUCCAUCCACCCAUCGGUAUUAUUUACCUAUCUAUCCAUCCUUAUACUAUCUAUCUGUCUGUCUGUCCGUCCGUCCGU